rfam:Brassica rapa chromosome A10, whole genome shotgun sequence.
GGGUGCGAUCAUACCAGCACUAAUGCACCAGAUCCUAUUAGAACUCUGCAGUUAAGCGUGCUUAAUCGAGAGUAGUAUUAGGAUGGACUUCCUGGGAACUCCUCGUGUUGCACCCU